GACGAACCGUGCGAACGUUGUUCGGAAUCACUGGGCUUAAAGGGCGCGUAGGCGGGCCACCAAGUCUGGGGUGAAAGCCCCCGGCUCAACCGGGGAAUUGCCUGGGAUACUGGUGGUCUGGAGGGAGGUAGGGGCAGCGGGAACUUCCGGUGGAGCGGUGAAAUGCGUUGAUAUCGGAAGGAACGCCGGUGGCGAAAGCGCGCUGCUGGACCUUAACUGACACUGAGGGACGAAAGCUAGGGGAGCGAAUGGG
rnacentral:rRNA from 1 species